ACACACCCAUCAUCCAGCACUCACACACACAUCAUCCAGCACUCACUCACACACCCAUCAUCCAGCACACACACCCAUCAUCCAGCACUCACUCACACACCCAUCAUCCAGCACUCACACACACGUCAUCCAGCGCGCGCACACACAUCAUCCAGCACAUGCACACACUGCAUUCAUUAUACACUACAAGCACACUACAUUCACUAUACACUCACUACAAACACACUACAUUCACUAUACACCCUCUGCAUUCACUAUACAC